AUUCCGGACACAUUUUGGCGACCAUGAAGGGACUUUCGCCUAUUGCCAAGCGGUGAGACAAUCGCCGAGCAGUGAGACCAUCGCCUAUUGCCAAGCGGUGAGACCAUUGCCUAUCGCCAAGCAAAUCGAGGCCAUCAAGCUACAGAUGGUCUUACAAAUGGAACCCCAAAUGAGUUCAACUAACAACUUCUACCGAGGACCCCUGGACUGACCAGCUGGCACUUCCCCUGGCCUAGAGAGUUCCCCUCUGAAGGACACUACAACUGCAGAGCCCCUUCUUCGCCCCUAUCCAGCAGGAAGUAGCUAGAGCGGUCAUCGGCCAAAUUCCCAACAGCAGUUGGGGUGUCCUGUUAAUUGAGAGGUGACAGCGUGCUGGCAGUCCUCACAGCCCUCACUCGCUCGCUCACUCUCGGCACCUCCUCUGCCUGGGCUCCCACUUUGGCAGCACUUGAGGAGCCCUUCAGCUCUGUAUCUAGCUACUCUGAUGGGUCCUUGGAGAACCUUUAUGUCUAGCUCAGGGAUUGUAAAUACACCAAUCAGCACUCUGUGUCUAGCUCAGGGUUUGUGAAUGCACCAAUGGACACUCUGUAUCUAGCUACUCUGGUGGGGCCUUGGAGAACCUUUGUGUCAACACUCUGUAUCUAACUAAUCUGGUGGGGAUGUGGAGAACCUUUGUGUUUAGCUCAGGGAUUGUAAACGCACCAAUCAGUGCCCUGUCAAACCACUCGGCUCUACCAAUCAGCAGGAUGUGGCUGAGGCCAGAUAAGAGAAUAAAAGCAGGCUGCCCGAGCCAGCAGUGGCAACCCGCUCAGGUCCCCUUCCACACUGUGGAAGCUUUGUUCUUUCACUCUUUGCAAUAAAUCUUGCUACUGCUCA